UACAGAGGGUGCGAGCGUUAAUCGGAAUUACUGGGCGUAAAGCGUGCGUAGACGGUAGCGUAAGUCGGGUGUGAAAGCCCCGGGCUCAACCCGGGAAGUGCAUUCGAUACUGCGUAGCUAGAGUACUGGAGAGGAUGGUGGAACUCUCGGUGUAGAGGUGAAAUUCGUAGAUAUCGAGAAGAACACCGGUGGCGAAGGCGGCCAUCUGGACAGAUACUGACGCUGAGACGCGAAAGCGUGGGGAGCAAACAGG
rnacentral:rRNA from 1 species